rnacentral:lncRNA from 1 species
CGCGGCACGGCACUGCCGAACGACCGCGCACAGCGCACCGCAGCGAGGGCCCGGGACCGUGCGGGCCGCGGAGGACAGAGCAGCCGUGAGGAGAGGCAGCGGGGCCGGCUGAUGGAGCUUUUAAUUGGGGGCGGGAGGGGGGGGGAGUGGGAGGGAAAGGAAAGGAAGGUCCUCUGGAAAUAUCUUCCGGGAUUAGAACGAGGAGCGCUGGACUCCCAUCUCGAUGCGGCCCUGUAGGAAAGCGCUGCGGGGACCGCGAAAAAGCUGCUCGGAAGGACCCACGGGGCUGAAAACGGGGAUUGGAAAAGAAAAAAAAAAAAAAAGUAGAUGGUGUGUGUGACAAAAAAAGCUGGGUGAUUCUGUUUUCUCAUGCCCUCGCUCCUCCACCAGCUGCACAGCCAAGCGCAGGCUGCUUGGCCCUUAUAACUAUCUUGGCACGGAGUCAAAAGCUGAUAAGCAUUUGGGCGAGACAGCUCAACUGCUGUGCUGGAAGAAAAACAGCUGCCAUGAUUUCUGUUUGAUUGAGAGCGCUUACACACACGCACAAAAAACACAUCGGGCUGCAGAGACGGGCCACGAAUGCCUGAGGAUUCAGCUUCAGAAGAGCAAUGCACGUUUCCUUAAGGGAAAGAAAAAAAAAAAAAAGUUUUAUGCAGUUUUGCCUCCGUUCCUCCUCCCCUUUUUAAGGAAAAUGUACUGCGUAGACUCGCUCCUCUCCUUCCCAUCCCCCUCCAUAACCUCAAGCAAACUCGAGGAAUUGUGCCAAAAGUCCCGUUGCUAGUUACUGAGUGCGUUUUUUUCAAACGUCCCUUUGAUACUUCUUCCCCUUGUGCUUGCCAUGGAAUAUGCAAGUAAGAUAAUCUUUCCAUUACUUACCAAAAGUAAUUAAAAAUGAAAAGGGCUUCUAGCAAACCUUCCUUUUCCUACUUUUUUUUUUUUUUCCCUCUGAAGGGGCAGGAGAAGGGAGGCGAGGGAGAGAAGAAUAUUUUUUCUCUUUGCGGAGUCCAACAUUUGGCUUUUUCCAUUUGUGGCAGAUCACUGUAACGCUAUUGUAAAACAACUUCCUGCCCCUUUUGGCUCCGGUUCCAGAAGCUGCUAGGCUAAGUUCAUAGCGCAAACUUUUUUUCCCCCCUUGCCGAAGAAGAAAGGCAAAAAAAAAUAAAUGUCCUGCAAAUGAUUCUCCUCCUUCUCCGGCUGAUGGACUCACAAGGUGAAUUCAUUGCAGCUCUGUAAGAAUGUCACACAAGAGGCAGCGCUAUCCCAGCUGGAUAAUUCAUGAGCCGAAAGCAGAGAACGCCAUUUUGAGGCUGUCACACAUUUCUGUGUCCAAAGUGGAUAACACCUGCGGAAAGCAUAAGAAUGAUAUUCUCAUGCUGCAGAAAAAGUAGGAAGAGAGGGAAAGAGACUAUCAUCAGGAAAACUGAAAGGAAGAUGCCUCUGUAGCAUGCACAUGCCGCCAGGAAGCAUGAGGUUUAGCCCAGAGGGCUCACAAAAUAAAAGAAACUUCCAGACUACGUGUUGGCAUCAAGAUGAGUGACAUGCCCACUGCAGAUUACAUCUCGUUAAUCUCUUCUUCUGCAAGUAAAGGGCAAGAGAGCAGCAGAUAAGAAAACAGAAAGUGCAGAAAUAACUGGAGAAACUAAAAGACAAGACAGGCUGCUCAAGAUUAAAAUCAGCGUUUCCAACCAAAAGAAAAUGCAUUCUUCUAUCUGGAAUGAAAGAGUGGUACUCCUUAAAUAGCCACAGAAAUAGUCCACAUUACAUGCCAAUGAAUUCUAGCAUUUAAUAAAAUGGUUGGAAGGCUACUUGAAAAUAUGUUAACCUGAAUGUCUAAGAAGAGGUUACAGAAUGGGGAGAAAAACAAUACAGCUAACGUAAUGAAAAAUACAUCUUUUUAUAUUGGAGUGGAUCUGCAGGUGAAAUUAUUAUUUACUUGGCCAUUCAAAAGGGCUUUGAUAGUGACUCAAAGAUCAUAAAGAAAACAGAGCAAUUGUGACCAAAAUUUAGGCUCAUGAUUAAAAACGAGCUAAGUAGCCCAAAGCAAAAUGUAGGGAUAAAAAAGGCACUUAAGAAGAAAAAGAUUAACAGUAAUUGUAUGCAGAAGUUACACUUGCAUCAGCUUUUAACAUUAUUUAGUAGUCUGGGAAAAAUUAAUUGUAAAACAAAGUGGCAAAAUUGACACUUGGAGUGUAUUUGGAUUACUGAAGAAAUUUAACAAAGUUAAACGAGUAUGAAACAACAUGAUAAAUACUUAUUGGUAAUUAUUAAGUAAGUUGCAUAGCAACAUUCUCAGCAAAGGAAAAAGAUCGGGGUGCCAUCACAACAAUUCAACAGUACUGUCAAAAAAAAAGACAAUUUUAACAGCACAUGCAAAAAAGCACAGAAACUAUGCUUCCAGUGGGUACCUGACUGGGAAAUACCUUCAAGAAGAAUGCUGUCUACAGUUCUUUUUACCUUACCUCAUUAAAACCACAGAACAUGAGUGUAAGGGCAGGUGACCAAAACGAUCUGGCUCUCGAGACGAUUGCCAUGUAACAUGACAAAGUGAUGAUGUUAUCAAGCACAUGAGCAACAGGGGACACGACAGAGAUGCACACUUUGAAAGUCAGAACUGUACUUUUUUACGUAUAGUGUUCAACAGGAGAGCACGCAGUAAAAUUAAAUGAGCAGCAUUAAAACUCUGGAAAUAUAUUACCUUACUAAGUGUAGGUAAGCAUGUGAAAAUCAGUGCCACAGUUCUUCAUUAAGGGACAUCAGUGAGACUUUGAAAGAAUACUGUUCUAUGCACAGCCUAUAGAAAUGUAACAUUAAAUAGGAUCGUUUGCUGGAAAUACCCUUGCACAAACCUGUAACAAAGCCAUUGGCCAAGGUAUCUGGCUGGACUAUUUUCUGACAAGGACAGGGUAUUCCAGAAGGAUCAAAUGCUGGUUGUUUUUGCCCUGCAUUUUCUUACCAACCAACCCUUUGUAAGAACGGUCUGGGUAGACUUAGCAUUAGACUGCAGAUCUAAUCCAGUGCAGUAAUUUCUACAUUUAAAUGUUUGCUAUGGUCAAAAACAAUGAUCCCCAAAACCUCUUCCCACCCCUACUACAAUGUGGUAAGAAUGAAAUAAUUUAUCCUCCAAGUUAGCUGCUGUGCCUGAUGCAAUGCUACCAAUGCAUUUCUCAAACUUCACAAAAAUACUUGGAAGCACGUAUUUUUUGCUACCUGCUUUUCCUCUCACCUUAAAUAAUUAGGAAGAACUUACAAGAUUCUGC